GAGUUAGUGAGCACCUUGCAGACACACAGGAUGUACUUCUCCAAGAUGGUGCAAUGGAGCAGAAACAGCUCAUGUCCCUAAUAAGAAGCCACGAGGGACCUCAUUGCUUAUUGAAGAGUCUUGCAGCAUACUUUGUUCGUUGGUCUUUUCUUAAUGGUUGGCUAUUUCUCCUCCAAUUCAAGCCACCCACUGAUCUAAGUCAUUCUUGAACACGAUUAUGAGUGUUUUCAUACAUAUGUGAUGCAUUGAGUAACUGAAUGGAUCCCAUCUGGGAGAUAUAUAAAGUGGACACUGAAGUGACUCAUCAGGCAGCUGCAGAGAAUACACAGAUGAGAAUGGCAGGGAACUCCACCAUGAAGAUGCUGAGCAUCAUCCACACCAUUUCCAGAAGAUGGAAAAAGCCACAUGACUGUGGAACACCACAAAAUUGAGGAAGAGUUUGAAGCUCACGGCUGCCAGAGUGAAACCUUGGGCUCUGGUAUUAGCUGCCUUGUACAUGGCUGAUUGGAACACAAAGGAAAAUAAUCUUGUAAGUUGUU
rnacentral:lncRNA from 1 species